GGCCUUUUAGCUCAAUUGGUCAGAGCGUGGUGCUAAUAACGCCAAGAUCAUGGGUUCAACCGCCAUACAGGCCA